rnacentral:rRNA from 1 species
UACAGAGGGGGCAAGCGUUGUUCGGAAUUACUGGGCGUAAAGGGCGCGUAGGCGGCCUUCUAAGUCGAACGUGAAAUCCCUGGGCUCAACCCAGGAACUGCGUCCGAUACUGGAAGGCUUGAAUCCGGGAGAGGGAUGCGGAAUUCCAGGUGUAGCGGUGAAAUGCGUAGAUAUCAGCAGGAACACCCGUGGCGAAGGCGGCUUCCUGGAUCACCCCUGACGCUGAGACGCGAAAGCGUGGGGAGCGAACGGG